UGUCAACAAUUAGACGCUGAAAAGGUGCCCCUGGUAGAAGGCAACCGGAGAUACAGUUCGACUGGCCGAUUGCCAGCUAUCAGGCCCAGGUAGGCACCUGGUAAGCGGCAACCGGAGCUACAAGUUGUCGGCGAGUUGGCACGUAUUAGGUGCAGAGAAGGUGCCCCUGGUAGAAGGCAACCGUUGCUACAAUUUGACUGGCGGGUUGCCAUCUAUCAGGCGCAAGAGGUGUCCCUGGUAAGAGGCAACCGGAACUACUUAUGGGCCUACGGAACAUUCGUUUUGUUUAUUCUAUUAAUUAUUUAUUUCCCUUCCGGCAACAAAAGCGAAAAUUAAUAUUGCCAUUUUAUUCGAACGUAUAACAGUCUGUUUCUAAUAAAAGUAUAUAUUUAUAAAUAAGGGUGAAAAGGAUAUUAAGAACAUCUCGCAGUCGCUGAAACGUGUUAUUUAAUUGAGGUACGAUAAUGUUUACGAAACGAGUCUUCCAAUGAUGUCUUCCAGAACAAUAAUACUAAUUAACGUAACGCGAUCUAUUGAUCGACGAAAAUCUUUGUCAAUAAUAUUAAACGUUAUACAUAUACAUAAAUAUAUAUAUACAUAUAUAUUGAGAGUUAUAGGGGUUAAGCGUUAAUUGUUAAGGCUAUGAUCAAAUUUAACGUGUAAGUAAAAUCGUCGCUAAUCAUCGUUUCAACCAGUUUAUCUUUUGUCGUGGAAAUCGUUUCCUUCUUGGAUAACAUCAAGGUAGACGAAUGAUUACAUGUAACGUAAUAUUGCCUUGUCAUUUAUAAAAGAUCGACAUCACGUACAACAAUAAUCGUUUAUUCGAGACGUACAAUUCGAAUUUUAAUUCCAAUCGUCGACCAAAGGAACAAGCGAUGGACAAAGUCAGACACACUUGCGCGUGUAUAGAAUCCAAACUGCAAUAAUAUCGGAGAAAAGAAAUAACACAGAGUGUCUGGCCGAAGUUCUGUAUAGUCUUUAGACACUCGCAAACUUUGUUUUUGAAUUCGUGUCGUCGGUAGCUGAUAAUUGUAUAAAAAUGUGUGAGAGGGGUAAUUACCGUCACCGUUACAUAAAUCACGUUCAUUUACGCGAUUUUUUCAUUGUUCAGAAACACGUCUGUCUCGAAGGAGAGAUCACGUGGCUCUCGUGACGGUUCGAGAAAAAAAAAAGAAACCUCAUUAAUGUGUCGUAGUUGAAUAUGCAUCGUAUAGGCGUUACAGAACGAUGUAAAAUGGGCUUCCAAAUAUACAUACAUAUAUGUAUAUAUAAAUAUAUAUAUAAAUUAUGAAAGACGAAAAUACAUUAUCAAAAUUUUACGAGAUGUUCUUGUUACUUAUUUUAAUUACAAUUAGACGCGGAGAAGGUGCCCCUGAUAGAGGGCAACCAAAGCUACAGUUCGACUGGCGGGUUGCCAGCUAUCAGGCGCAGAUAGUUUUCACUGCCACUUUUUAGUGACUUUCUCCGUACAAGAAUGUAUCUAAAAACCGCGAGAUCGAUAGUUCGGUUAUGCUCUAAAUACUAUUCAUCGCUACAUAAAGGGUUCCUUCUGUUAGAGAACGUCAUUGUAUACAGAUCGAUCGCGAUGGAGUUACUGAUGGUCGCACGUUUAAUAUACUUCCUCGCUUUGAUGAUCGUUGCGAACGCCGAACGCGAUACAAUGAAAAAACUGCAAGACGAAAUUACACAAAAUGGCGAAAUACCUCGCGUGAAGAUACAAGUGUUUCGAAACCCUAGCGAAGAAUCGAACGGCACGCAAUUUACUGUUUGGGGGUUUUGGAUAAAGCAACCGGCAGAAGUGGAUUUAUCGCGUUAAAACAUUAUAUGUAGUUAACUGUAACUAAACAGGGUGUCCCAAAAAUGUUGUAACACCUUGAAAGGAAUGAUUCAGGAGGUGA